UAAACGACUCUCGGCAACGGAUAUCUCGGCUCACGCAUCGAUGAAGAACGUAGCAAAAUGCGAUACUUGGUGUGAAUUGCAGAACCCCGUGAACCAUCGAGUUUUUGAACGCAAGUUGCGCCCAAAGCCUUUUGGUCAAGGGCACGUCUGCUUGGGCGUCAUAC
rnacentral:rRNA from 1 species